UCUCCUAUCCUCUUGAAUUUUUCUUUUUUCUUUUGGGUCUUUUUUUCCCCUCCAUCUUCUGAGUGGACAUCACCACCAUUACCUGUGGAGUGCAUCCGAAGACUUCAGUUCACUUCUCCUUCAUGAUAAGGAGGUUGUGAGGUGUUGAAGCUGGCAAGCCAUGCCCAUUCCUUUAGGUGGCAGUACUGCACCUCCUACUUCCCCAGCCGCAAAUCAAUUAAGAAGAAGAUGACAAAGCAGCCGGUGAAGCUGGGUUUAAAUUUUUCCCGCCGAAUUUCUGAAGUGAUUAAUGGUUAUCAACUAGGAGCCAACAUGUAACUUACAACCACCUCAUACAUGCCACAGAAAUCUUCAAAAAGAAGAAGAAUUGCCGCAGACAAAAUGCAGAUGUUGUUCCAGAGUCUCCAUCGUCAACACCUCAUCACUCAGAUCACUUCUUCUAAACAGGCAAAGUGUACAUUUAUUACUGAAACCACCUUAAAAGACUAAAGAGAUGGUUGACUUCAGGAGAGCAAAGAGUGACCAUUCUCCACUGAACAUCGAUGAGUCCAUCGUGGAGAUCGUCAAGAGCACCAAAUUCCUUAGUGUUCACCUGGCGGAGGACCUCACCUGGUCACUCAACACCAGCCCCAUCACCAGGUAAGCCCAGCAGCGUCUCUACUUCUUGCAAAGGCUGAGGAAGGCUCAUCUUCCACCUCCCAUCCUGACCACCUUCUACAGAGGGACCAUCGAGAGCAUCCUGAGCAGCUGCAUCACUGCCUGGUUUGGGAAUUGCACCGUCUCGGACCACAAGACCCUUCAGCGGAUAGUGAGGACAGCUGAGAAGAUCAUCGGAGUCUCUCUCCCCUCUGUUACAGACAUUUACUCCACACGCUGCAUCCGCAAAGCUAACAGCAUUGUGGACACACUCUUCACCCUUCUGCCAUCCGGUAAGAGGUACUGAAGCAUUCGGACCUGCACAACCAGACUGUUAAACAGUUUCUUCCCUCAGGCAAUCAGGUAUCUCAGCAGAGAACUGAGCUGAACUGGAAACACACACACACACGUACAACCAAGAUCUGAUCUCAGAGGAGAACUGAACUGUGCUGGACACGGACACACAUACAUAACACACACGCACAAAAAAAAAAAAGAACUGAACUGUGCUGGACAUGGACACAGACACACACACACUAAAUUGUCCUGUUUGCACGCACAUGCCACUUUACAUUUAUAUAUAUUUAUAUUAAUCCUGUUUACAUAUGUCGCUUUAAUAUCUGCAAUCACUGUGUACACUGUUCUUUGCACAUUGUCUUGUUCAUUGCACAACGUCGGCCUAUAUGUUGUUGUUGCUGCACUGUCUUGUCUUGUCUUCCUGUACCCUUCUGUUGUAUGUCUAGUUCUUAAAGACUGCGCCUUAAGUAUAGUUUAAUUUUUUUAUGUCAUAGCUCUGUUUGUCUGCGUCACUGUACUUUGUCUGUGUAUCACCUCUGGUCUAGGAGGAACGUUGUUUCACUUCACUGUGUGCUGCAUCUGCUAUAUAUGGUUGAAGUGACAAUAAAGCUACUUUGACUUUUGACUUAAAUAUAAAGCAUAAAGAACAUGGACAUGUUUUUCAAAUAACUUGUUCAUGACUUAAACACAUGAAGAAAAGAACAUAGAAAAAACACAGGUUCACAUUG